GGGCCCGUAGCUCAGCCAGGUAGAGCGGCGGGCUUUUAACCGCAAAGGGUUGCGGAAAGCAACCCGUAGGUCCC
rnacentral:tRNA from 1 species